rnacentral:rRNA from 1 species
GUCCACGCUGUAAACGAUGAACACUAGGUGUAGGUGAUGUGAAGUUAUCUGUACCGAAGCCAACGCGUUAAGUGUUCCGCCUGGGAGUACGGCCGCAAGGCUAAACUCAAAGGAAUUGACGGGCCCGCACAAGCAGCGGAGCGUGUGGUUUAAUUCGAUGCGACGCGAAGAACCUUACCCAGGAUUGACAUGCACGUAGUAGUGAAGCGAAAGCGGAACGACCCUUCGGGGAGCGUGCACAGGUGCUGCAUGGCUGUCGU